GAUAGAGGAUGCAAGCGUUAUCCAGAAUGAUUGGGCGUAAAGCGUCUGUAGGUGGCUUUUCAAGUCCGCCGUCAAAUCCCAGGGCUCAACCCUGGUCAGGCGGUGGAAACUACCAAGCUGGAGUACGGUAGGGGCAGGGGAAUUUCCGGUGGAGCGGUGAAAUGCAUUGAGAUCGAAAAGAACACCAACGGCGAAAGCACUCUGCUGGGCCAACACUGACACUGAGAGACGAAAUCUAGGGGAGCGAACGGG
rnacentral:rRNA from 1 species